rnacentral:rRNA from 1 species
CCCUUAGAUGCUCUGGGCCGCACGCGCGCUACACUGGUCGAUGCAACGAGUUUCUUUCCUUGGCCGACAGGCCUGGGCAAUCUUUGAACAUCGAUCGUGAUCGGGAUAGAUUCUUGUAAUUUUUGAUCUUAAACAAGGAAUUCCUAGUAAACGCAAGUCAUCAGCUUGCAUUGAUUACGUCCCUGCCCUUUGUACACACCGCCCGUCGCACCUACCGAUUGAAUGGUCCGGUGAAAUCUCCGGACUGGCGUGAGUCGGAGCAAUCUGACAAACACCGGAAAGUUGAUUAAACCUUACCAUUUAGAGGAAGGUGAAGUCGUAACA